UACGAAGGGGGCUAGCGUUGUUCGGAAUUACUGGGCGUAAAGGGCGCGUAGGCGGUGUGUCAAGUCAGGCGUGAAAGCCCCGGGCUCAACCUGGGAACAGCGCUUGAGACUGGCACGCUCGAGUUCGGGAGAGGAUGGUGGAAUUCCCAGUGUAGAGGUGAAAUUCGUAGAUAUUGGGAAGAACACCGGUGGCGAAGGCGGCGAGCUGGUCCAUUACUGACGCUGAGGCGCGACAGCGUGGGGAGGCAAACAGG
rnacentral:rRNA from 1 species